AUGAACGCUAGCUACAGGCCUAACACAUGCAAGUCGAGGGGAAACGGCAGCUUAGCUUGCUAAGCUGGACGUCGACCGGCGCACGGGUGAGUAACGCGUAUCCAACCUGCCCCACGGUGAGGGAUAACCCGCGGAAACGCGGCCUAAUACCUCAUGGUCUCCGAGUUUGCCAUCAACCUUGGAGUAAAGAUUCAUUGCCGUGGGAUGGGGAUGCGUCUGAUUAGCUUGUUGGCGGGGCAACGGCCCACCAAGGCAACGAUCAGUAGGGGUUCUGAGAGGAAAGCCCCCCACAUUGGAACUGAGACACGGUCCAAACUCCUACGGGAGGCAGCAGUGAGGAAUAUUGGUCAAUGGGCGAGAGCCUGAACCAGCCAAGUAGCGUGCAGGAUGACGGCCCUAUGGGUUGUAAACUGCUUUUAUGCGGGGAUAAAGCGGGCGACGUGUCGCCCUUUGCAGGUACCGCAUGAAUAAGGACCGGCUAAUUCCGUGCCAGCAGCCGCGGUAAUACGGAAGGUCCGGGCGUUAUCCGGAUUUAUUGGGUUUAAAGGGAGCGUAGGCCGGGUAUUAAGCGUGUUGUGAAAUGUAGGCGCCCAACGUCUGCACCGCAGCGCGAACUGGUGCCCUUGAGUACGCACGACGUUGGCGGAAUUCGCCGUGUAGCGGUGAAAUGCUUAGAUAUGGCGAAGAACUCCGAUUGCGAAGGCAGCUGACGGGAGCGCUACUGACGCUCAUGCUCGAAAGCGCGGGUAUCGAACAGGAUUAGAUACCCUGGUAGUCCGCGCGGUAAACGAUGGAUGCCCGCUAUUUGCGCAUUAGCGCAAGUGGCCAAGUGAAAACGUUAAGCAUCCCACCUGGGGAGUACGCCGGCAACGGUGAAACUCAAAGGAAUUGACGGGGACCCGCACAAGCGGUGGAGCAUGUGGUUUAAUUCGAAGCAACGCGAAGAACCUUACCAAAUCUUGACAUCCCUCUGAAACACGCUUAAUCGAGUGCCUCCUUCGGGACAGAGGAGACAGGUGGUGCAUGGUUGUCGUCAGCUCGUGCCGUGAGGUGUCGGCUUAAGUGCCAUAACGAGCGCAACCCCUCUCCAUAGUUGCCAUCAGGUAAUGCUGGGCACUCUGUGGACACUGCCACCGUAAGGUGCGAGGAAGGUGGGGAUGACGUCAAAUCAGCACGGCCCUUACGUCCGGGGCUACACACGUGUUACAAUGGGGGGUACAGAGAGUCGGGACAACGCGAGUUGCCCCCAAUCAUCAAAGCCCCCCUCAGUUCGGACUGGGGUCUGCAACCCGACCCCACGAAGCUGGAUUCGCUAGUAAUCGCGCAUCAGCCAUGGCGCGGUGAAUACGUUCCCGGGCCUUGUACACACCGCCCGUCAAGCCAUGAAAGCCGGGGGCGCCUGAAGUCCGUGACCGCGAGGAUCGGCCUAGGGCGAAACUGGUAAUUGGGGCU
rnacentral:rRNA from 1 species